rnacentral:rRNA from 1 species
UACGGAGGGUGCAAGCGUUAUCCGGAUUCACUGGGCUUAAAGGGAGCGUAGGCGGCUUUGUAAGUCAGUGGUGAAAUAUUGCGGCUCAACCGCAAAACUGCCAUUGAUACUGCUUAGCUUGAAUCACGUCGAGGUGGAUGGAAUAAUACAUGUAGCGGUGAAAUGCUUAGAUAUGUAUUAGAACACCGAUUGCGAAGGCAGUUCACUAGGCGUGUAUUGACACUGAGGCUCGAAAGCGUGGGGAUCAAACAGG